rnacentral:snoRNA from 1 species
AUGCAGCCAGUUGAGCUGGCCAGGCCCCCUUCUUCAUGGGAACCUGUGUGUAAUGGCUGCAAACAGAAGCCUGCUUGGAGGCAUGUUCAACCUGCUAUCUGUGUGGGUUUCCCUAAGGGAUCUUGGUGGCAGCU